rnacentral:rRNA from 1 species
GCGCAAUGGGGGAACCCUGACGCAGCAACGCCGCGUGAGUGAUGAAGGCCUUCGGGUCGUAAAGCUCUGUCAGAGGGGAAGAAAUGCAGGGGUGCUAAUAUCAUCUUUGCUUGACGGUACCCUCAAAGGAAGCACCGGCUAACUCCGUGCCAGCAGCCGCGGUAAUACGGAGGGUGCGAGCGUUGUUCGGAAUUAUUGGGCGUAAAGCGCGUGUAGGCGGUUUGGUAAGUCUGAUGUGAAAGCCCCGGGCUCAACCUGGGAAGUGCAUUGGAAACUGUCAGACUUGAAUACGGGAGAGGGUAGUGGAAUUCCUAGUGUAGGAGUGAAAUCCGUAGAUAUUAGGAGGAACACCGGUGGCGAAGGCGGCUACCUGGACCGAUAUUGACGCUGAGACGCGAAAGCGUGGGGAGCAAACAGGAUUAGAUACCCUGGUAGUCCACGCCGUAAACGAUGAGUACUAGGUGUUGCGGGUAUUGACCCCUGCAGUGCCGCAGCUAACGCAUUAAGUACUCCGCCUGGGAAGUACGGUCGCAAGACUAAAACUCAAAUGAAUUGACGG